rnacentral:rRNA from 1 species
UACGGAGGGGGCUAGCGUUGCUCGGAAUUACUGGGCGUAAAGGGCGCGUAGGCGGACAGUUUAGUCAGAGGUUAAAGCCCAGGGCUCAACCUUGGAAUCGCCUUUGAUACUGGCUGUCUUGAGUACGGGAGAGGUGUGUGGAACUCCGAGUGUAGAGGUGAAAUUCGUAGAUAUUCGGAAGAACACCAGUGGCGAAGGCGACACACUGGCCCGUUACUGACGCUGAGGCGCGAAAGCGUGGGGAGCAAACAGG